rnacentral:rRNA from 1 species
CAGUCGCCGCGGUAAUACGGAGGAUCCGAGCGUUAUCCGGAAUUAUUGGGUUUAAAGGGUGCGUAGGCGGAUAGAUAAGUCAGUGGUGAAAGACGGUGGCUCAACCAUCGCAGUGCCGUUGAUACUGUUUAUCUUGAAUAUGGAUGAGGUAGGCGGAAUGUGGCAAGUAGCGGUGAAAUGCAUAGAUAUGCCACAGAACACCGAUUGCGAAGGCAGCUUACCAAGGCAAAAUUGACGCUGAGGCACGAAAGCGUGGGGAUCGAACAGGAUUAGAUACCCCCGUAGUCCCUGUCUCUUAUAA